CCCUUAGAUGUCCUGGGCCGCACGCGCGCUACGCUGACAUGUUCAACAAGCCUCCUAGUUCGACAGGAUUUGGGAAAUCUUUGAACGCAUGUCGUGAUAGGGAUAGAUCAUUGCAAUUAUUGAUCUUGAACGAGGAAUUCCUAGUAAACGCGAGUCAUCAGCUCGCAUUGAUUACGUCCCUGCCCUUUGUACACACCGCCCGUCGCACCUACCGAUUGAAUGUUUCGGUGAAGAUUCCGGAUAGGACUUUUUUGAUUUAUUUCAAUUCUGUCUUAAAAGCUAUCUAAACCUCAACAUUUAGAGGAAGGUGAAGUCGUAACA
rnacentral:rRNA from 1 species